UGAAAAACGUUGAGAAGGAUUAGUAGGCUAGAUGAAUCGAUAGCGAGUGCAUGGUUGGUGGAAAUGCAUGAUUCAAAUAUCUGAACUCACCUUUUAGUUGUCAUACUGAAUAUAGUAAGUAUGACCGGUUCACCUCGUUAGCGGUAUGAGAAGAGAAUGAUUAUUCAUUCUAAUUAAUAGGUGGUACCACGAUAAAAUCGUCCUAUAG
rnacentral:ncRNA from 1 species